UCGUCAGCUCGUGUCGUGAGAUGUUGGGUUAAGUCCCGCAACGAGCGCAACCCCUAUUGUUAGUUGCCAUCAUUCAGUUGGGCACUCUAGCGAGACUGCCGGUAAUAAACCGGAGGAAGGUGGGGAUGACGUCAAAUCAUCAUGCCCCUUAUGACCUGGGCUACACACGUGCUACAAUGGUUGGUACAACGAGUUGCGAGUCGGUGACGGCGAGCUAAUCUCUUAAAGCCAAUCUCAGUUCGGAUUGUAGGCUGCAACUCGCCUACACGAAGUCGGAAUCGCUAGUAAUCGCGGAUCAGCACGCCGCGGUGAAUACGUUCCCGGGCCUU
rnacentral:rRNA from 1 species